AUCAGAUGCAAGGGGCAUGCCUGGGCUCUGUUCCCAUGAGGUAUCACUCACCUUCUAGAGCCUUGUCCUUGUGUCCUUAUUGGAUUCUUAUCUGGACCUAGCAAAGGGGGUUAGUCCUGGAAUUAAGUCCUCGUAUGUCACUGUAAAAGAUGACUUGACACAAACAACUUAAGGGAUUGUAUUAGUCAAGGUUUACUACUGUGAACAGACACCAUGACCAAGGCAUGGUGCAGUCUACAUCAUCAGAAGGCUGCUGGAAAAUACUGACUUCAGGCAGAUAGGAUGAGGAUCUUAAAGCCCACACCCACAGUGACACACCUACUUCUACAAGGCCACACCUCCUAAUAGUGUAUAUGCCCUGGCCCAGGCAUAUACAGUCCAUCACAGGAAGUAAAUGUUGACUUUGCUCAUGGUUUCAAUGGACUCAAACCAUAGUUGGUUGGCCCCAUGUCUUAGGCAGACAUCACAGGGCAACAGGAGAGGACCUUUGUUACAUGGUGGCCCGGGGGGUUGGGGCAGAGGGAACACACACAGGACUAAACAAGAUACCCAAGGACCAACUCCCAGUGACCUGUUUUCUCCAGCUAAGUCCCACCUCCUAACUUUUCCAAAACCUGCCACAACAGUACCACCAGCUUGUCACCAAUUGUCCUAAGUGUGAACUUCUUGGGGACCUAUCCUGCCCAAGCCACUCUCACUGUCUGCUCACAGAGCAACCCGGUGCCUGUCUCCUCUCCCAGUGUUCCUUUCUGAAAGCACAGAGGUCCUGAGAGGGAGCACCACUGAGGUCCUGAGAGGGAGCAUCACAGAGGUCCUGAGAGGGAGCACCACAGAGGUCCUGAGAGGGAGCACCACAGAGGUCCUGAGAGGGAGCACCACAGAGGUCCUGAGAGGGAGCACCACAGAGGUCCUGAGAGGGAGCACCACAGAGGUCCUGAGAGGGAACACCACAGAGGCUAGUGCUUUGACGGGAUCAGUGUUGAAGGCAAACCAAAGCGUGUCAUUUCUGCUGUCCCUGCACAAAGCCUUGCAGACCUACUGACCUGAAACUGAGCGGGUGGCUGAUCCCCAGAGCCUUAGCCUCUGUGGGAUCAGGAAAGACACCUUCCUGGUCUGUUCCUGAAGUUGAAAGCAAAGCUACAAAGGACCGAGGUUCUGAGCCUGAGUUGUUCCUACUUAACAUAUGGCCUAAGCCAAUUGUUGGCAAACAUUUCUGUCUAGAAGGCAGGAGUAGCUUUAGGAAAACUGGAAGAACCUGAGUGCUCACAACAGCUGAUACUCACCAGGACUUACUCUAUACCUAGUAUAGGGCUGUUUCCUUUCCAUUCACCUUCUCAGAUCAUAACAGUCACAGGAGAUGGACAUACUGUUCUCUCCUCUCUCUCUCUCUCUCUCUCUCUCUCUCUCAAAAAUAAAGUGAAGCUUAGAGGACGUGUAGCAGAUCUGAUUUGCAGUUCUUAGGCAAAUGGCUCCUGAGAAGACAUCCCCUCCACUGUGGGAGGAAAGGUUGUCUGUGGACCCAGCGCAUCCCGUGUCUUGCCAUAGGAACCUGAAAAGUGUUUCUCAGCUUGAUACAUUGCCGCCAUUGCACCUGGAAACCACACAGUACUCAAAUAGCCUUUUAACUAGUGUUAAAAGCUGUUGGGACAUUCCGACUUUAAUGGGAUGGAAAACUACAGGAGAUGAUUAGAAGAGAGGCCAGAUAAGAAUAAGAC